rnacentral:rRNA from 1 species
AGUGAACGCUGGCGGUAGGCCUAACACAUGCAAGUCGAACGGCAGCACAGUAAGAGCUUGCUCUUACGGGUGGCGAGUGGCGGACGGGUGAGGAAUACAUCGGAUUCUACUUUUUCGUGGGGGAUAACGUAAGGAAACUUACGCUAAUACCGCAUACGACCUACGGGUGAAAGCAGGGGAUCUUCGGACCUUGCGCGAUUGAAUGAGCCGAUGUCGGAUUAGCUAGUUGGCGGGGUAAAGGCCCACCAAGGCGACGAUCCGUAGCUGGUCUGAGAGGAUGAUCAGCCACACUGGAACUGAGACACGGUCCAGACUCCUACGGGAGGCAGCAGUGGGGAAUAUUGGACAAUGGGCGCAAGCCUGAUCCAGCCAUACCGCGUGGGUGAAGAAGGCCUUCGGGUUGUAAAGCCCUUUUGUUGGGAAAGAAAAGCAGCAGGUUAAUACCCCGCUGUUCUGACGGUACCCAAAGAAUAAGCACCGGCUAACUUCGUG